CUUCGCUGCGGGUCCGCCGGCCCCACAGGUGGCCCCGGUUGGUGUGACGUGCAGGUUCCCCGAAGCGUGCAGCACGGCUUAAGAUCCCUGGGGUUUAGAGUGUAGGAUACGCCGAUGAGAAGGUGAGAGAAGGAGGAAGCAAGAAGAAAGCUCUGCAGUUUAAGAUAAUUAGAAGAGACAGCUGGAGGGAGGACGAGGACUGUCUGCUCUAGAACAGAUCAUCUGGCAGGACCUAGCACAGCAAUGGAGGAAAUAAUAUGAAGCUGUCGAAGCAAAGUAGGAGGGCACAUGGUCCUUAGGUUUGGUGUAGUGGGGAACAAGCACGUUUCUGGGAAAAAAAACAGCCUCAGGAGAAAGAAAAAAAGCACAUGGAGAAGCCCACAUGUGGAACAGGAAAAUACAG